rnacentral:rRNA from 1 species
GUGCCAGCAGCCGCGGUAAUACAGAGGGUGCGAGCGUUAAUCGGAUUUACUGGGCGUAAAGCGUGCGUAGGCGGCUUUUUAAGUCGGAUGUGAAAUCCCUGAGCUUAACUUAGGAAUUGCAUUCGAUACUGGGAAGCUAGAGUAUGGGAGAGGAUGGGUAGAAUUCCAGGUGUAGCGGUGAAAUGCGUAGAGAUCUGGAGGAAUACCGAUGGCGAAGGCAGCCAUCUGGCCUAAUACUGACGCUGAGGUACGAAAGCAUGGGGAGCAAACAGGAUUAGAUACCCUGGUAGUCC